UACGUAGGUGGCAAGCGUUGUCCGGAUUUAUUGGGUUUAAAGGGUGCGUAGGUGGUCUAUUAAGUCAGUGCUGAAAUAUCCCGGCUUAACCGGGAGGGUGGCAUUGAUACUGAUGGACUUGAGUAAAGUUGAGGUGGGCGGAAUUGACGGUGUAGCGGUGAAAUGCUUAGAUAUCGUCAAGAACACCUAUUGCGAAGGCAGCUCACUAAGCUUUAACUGACACUGAGGCACGAAAGCUAGGGGAGCAAACAGG
rnacentral:rRNA from 1 species